UUGACCCUCGGAUUCAGUCCGGUAUCCUCCCCUC
rnacentral:rRNA from 1 species